AGCUGAGCGGGCGGAGUCAGUCAGCGGCGGGGACACCUGUGUCUCGGUCGCGCUGCGCGGCUGCUCACUAAAAGCCCCCAGCACAUCCCCGCACUCUUCUGUUCCCGCCCGGUCCGGGGAAAUAAAGGAAAACACAGAAGCAUGACGAAGAACAGUCAGUGGAGCUAACUGAGUCAUCCCUCUGCCCACAGGGCGGCAGCUGCCUGCAUCCGAGAGCAGCCAGCGGCAGGAGGCGGGUGCUCUUUGCCAGAAGGUUGUAGAUAAAUGGGGAGAAUAUUUGGAAUAAAGAAGUGAAAUGCAUGAGGAAAGCUCCACAUUCCCAAGGGAAUGCUUUAGGGAUGUGCAGCUUCUGAAUUGCACCAAUGAUUCCAGCUCCCACAGAAAUCUUCCAAAGCUGGAGGAGAUGGGGAAGAAAAUUCCAAGAGUGGUGGGAAGUGCGUUUUCCCAGGUCUUCCUGGUGGGUCUGUGCCGCUGGAAGUAGAAAGGAAAUCAGUCUUGACGUACCUGUGUGUUCACCAGCAGGGCUCCAAAAAGACGCUGGAUUUGAAACUGCAGGAUGUUCCCUUUGCUGCAGUGAGAAGCAGUGGAAGCCGUUUGCUGUCUGCUUCUUUAUCAGCUUCACCUCAGUCCCCUGGGGCUCCAGGAAACGUCUCAUGGUCUGGACUGAUGCUAUUGCAGGGAGAGCAAAAAGUCCCACAGCUCCUGUGGCUCACUUGUCUGAAUUGCCUCCAGGCAGCAAGGAUUGUUUCCAAAUGUCAUUUCCUGGCUCCUUGACUUGGAAAGAAAAACCAUUUAAGUGGGCCCAGUGAUGCCAGAAGCUUUGGUGUUUGAGCAGCCAAAGCCAAGAGGUUCCGACCCUGGGGGCCUGUGCUGAAGGGCGCUUGGUCCUGCCUUUUGUGUGGGUCAGUCAGAGGGACACAGCAUUCCUCUUUUCCUCUCUGCUGGAAUUAACUGCCAUGGGAAUGCCAUUUCUGACAGCCCCGUCCUACCCAUGUCUGCUGGAAAAGGGCAGAGGUGAAGAGGCGAAUGCCAGAGUUGCUUGGGGAUUAUGGAGUUUGGAUGUUUGCUGUGCUGGGAGGGGUGGGUUAGGUGUUAAUUGUGCAUCUAAGGACUGGUCUGGGAGUUUGGGAGCCUGAGGAGGUAAGUUCUUAGUGUAUUUCCAGCUCUCCCAGGGGUGGCAGCUGGUGCAGGGCUAGGUGACAACCUCUGGUUGGGCUGGGGACAAGCACUGGCCCUGGCACAGAUGUGGGUGGGGUUUGGGAGGAUUUGGGAGCAAUGGGAUGAAAAUGAGGAAUAGUGCUGGGUGGAGUGGUUGACCUGUGCUUGUGUCAGUGCAGCUGUGCAGGGCACUAGGAUCUGGGUAAAACUCCAGCUCUCCUGGUGUUCAGGCAUGCAAGGUCUGAGGGGCUGGAUUUUCCUGUGGCUUUCCAAGACAGCAGGAAGAAGAGGAAAUAUGAUGCCAAGGCUGUGUCUUAUCAGGUUGUGUUUCCCUCUUUUCCCUUUCCAUUUCCAUUUUCUCCUCAGUGCAGGUGUUCCCUGCAGUCGAUGACCACAGGCCUGGUGACAGCUCCCUGUCUUCCUGUCCCCCUGUGCCCCUUUGUUGGACAUGGCUAGAAUGGCAACACAUCCUUGAAGUCUGGCUGCUUCCUUAAAUCCUUAGACCAGUUAGGGCUGUCUCUGAACAGCUGAAAUGAGAGCUUUCAGUGUCUAGGAACAAACAGGAGUGACAGACAAAGGUAUUUGAAUCUAGAAAUAGGUGAGUUCCUCCUGCCCACCACUGCUGACACAGAGGCUGGGGCUCAGGGCAGCUGUGUAGCCCUUCCUUGGACCACUGAUCCUGCACUGGAAUGUUGUCAUGUUGCCAAACUGGGCCUCAAACCGGGAGAAGAUAAGCCCUGACCAUUUGCUCCUGACGCAGGAACACCUAUAGCCCACCCACAGUGUGUUAGCUGGAGUGUGUGCCUCAGCUGGUGUCACUUGAAUUUCACCAGCUGGCUCAUGCUCUGGGCAAUUCUGAGAGACCAUCACAUUGUUGUGCCCUGAACACGGUUUGCCAGACCCAGAGAUCUGGCCAUAUGGUGAUUUCUGAACAGAAAGUCAAAAUGCAGGAGAAGUGCCAGGGGCACAGAUGGGCCUCGGUACAGCACAGUCUUUGUGGAUCACUGUCAUUCCAGGCCCUUACAGUCUCUCCCCAUCUUUCUUGUAGGUUCUCUUCAGGUACAAGAGGCCUUGCUCACUGGUGUUUUUGACUAUUCUUUGUCAAGGAAAUUAGUUGAGUUUGUUAGUCAAAUCUAAUAGGCUUUUAUAUCGGGCUUCUCUGCAGUGGGAUUCAUAAUCAGAGACUGGUAUUUGCAUCUGGAUGCUUCCAGAAAGUGGAUGUAAUCCCUGGAUGUAUAAAGAAAAUGCUUAUUCAUCACCUAGGCAAUGAUAGCAAUGCAGGUGAAGGUCAGGUCAGACUGGCAUGGCAGCCUUUUCACCAGUUCACCAGUUGAACUGGUGCCAGGGUGAGCCCAGUCUCUAGAUUUCCCUUGCAUGCCUCAAGGUGUACAUCAUAAGAUUUGUGCUUGUUUGAAGUACAGAGUUGUGCAGUGAGUGUCAGGUGAUGUUCUCUUUGCUGCACAUUGGUGACAGGGAGCUCUAGAGAAAUGCAGACCUGCUGGGUAGAGAAGGCACAAAAGAGUGCUUUCCUUUCAAACACAGAAACUGGCAAAAAAUGUAUUUUGUCUCUCAGUGCCUGUGUUCCCUUCAACCCAGGGAGGCUGUUUGGAGCGGAUGACUUAUUGCCUGUGUUGACAUAUGUGCUAGCCCAGUGUGAUAUGCUAGAGCUGGACACUGAAAGAUGGAGUUGCUGGAUCCCUCUUUACUGCAUGGAGAAGGUGAUCUAUUUUUAAAUUUUUACUGGAACUGUGUGAAAGACUAGUUGAGGGGGUGUUCUUCCUCACAGCACAGUUACUGUUCCCCUUGUUUGAAUGGGAAUCUUAUUAAGGGGAUACCUAACGAAAGUGAUGUUGAUAGUGUAACAAGAGAGUGUCAUCAUUUCCACUGCUGGGUAGCUUGCAAAGCACAAGCCCCAGAGACCUGAAAAUUUGAUGCUGUGUAUUUCUCUAUGAGCAAAUUCGUUGUUUCCACCCUGUUUUGACUUAGCAGGCAAACACAUGCACUGUGCAGGUGCCAAAUGGCCUUAGUCAUUUAGUUUUUCAGCUUUUGUGCCUGAAAAUUUCCACACCCAUGAAAGUUACUCACUCACCCUCCCCUGCCACAGCUGGGCAGAGAGAGAAAACCUUAACGAAGAGAUAAGGAUUGGGAGAAAACAUUCCAAGGGCACAACAGGCUUGGCUUAGAGGUACAAAGUGAAUUUAUUGCUAACAAAAUCAGAGGAGGAUAAUAAGAAGUAAAAUAAGCUCUUAAAAACCCUUUUCUUCCCCCAACCCCUCCUUCCUUCCCACAGACAGUGUAAAGGAGACAGGACAUGGGGGUUUAGGUCAGUUCAUCACCUGAGAUUUUCUUCUACUGCUCAGGAAGAGGAGUCCUUCCCCUUUGAGGUGAUGGGGUCCCUCCCACAGGAGACAGUCCUCCCAAAACUACUGCAAUGUGAAUUCCUCCCAUGGGUGCACAGUCCUCCCAAAACUGCUGUGGCGCGGGUCUCUCUUCCCACAGGGUGCAGUCCUCCAAGGACAGGCUGCUCCGGCCUGGGAACAGGGGCCCUCUCUUUCCACGGGGUCUCUCACUGGAUCACAGCCUCCUCCAGGCAUCCACCUGCUCUGGUGUGGGUACCUCUGCUAUGGGCUGGGGUUGAUCUCUGCACUCUCCGUGGAUGUCUGGGCUGCAGGGGCACAUGGUCAUCACCACGGCCUGCAGAGGACUCUCGGCUCCAGCGGCUGGAGCACCUCCUCCUCCUCUUUCUCCACUGGCCUUGGUAUCUCCAUGUUGUUUCCUUCACAUGUUCUUAUGUCCUCCUCCAGCUGGAAUUAAGACUGUGAACCCACUUUUUUUUUUUAUUUUCUUCUUAAAUACAUUUUCACAGAGGUGUUACCAAUCUCUCUAACCAGCCCAGGUUUGGCCAGCAGCAUGUCAAUCUUCAGAACCAUCAGAGAUUGGCUCUGCCAGACAUGGUGGAAGCUUCUAGCAGUUUCUCACAGAAGCCGCCUCCCUAGAAGCAGAAGGAGUUGUAUCACUGUAAUGCCUUUCAUUAACUUUCUUACCCCUCCCCAACCUGGAAUUAAGAAUCCCUUUCCUCCUGGCAUUUCCUGGACUUGCCUUGCUCUGCCUGCUCGUACUAGGACUCUGAACACCUUAUGUACUCCCAGCAUUUCAGGAGCACAUGUGAGGCAGCCCAGGAGAGUUCAUGUGCAGACAGACCUGCCUGUCCUGGCAGCUUUUGUCUGGCACCAGUGUUUUUGUGUACUGAAUUUUGGACAGGCCAUCCUGAUUUCACCCUUGGGUUCCAGGACCAGAAUGACAGUUCUUUUGCACAUGAAGGAAAGCAGGUAGCCUAAGAAUUUUAGGUGCAGAUUAGAGAUGGCUCAGGUGAGACCAAGGCCAGUCAGAUCACUCUAUCCUAGCCACUUUUGUGUCCCAGCAAUCCUUGAAGACACCUCUCACUUGCCUGGCCUUGCCUUGGCAACCCAACAGUUUCCUUGCCUUGCCCUGCUAACCCUCCCUAGCCUCCCUUGCAUGUCCAUGCCUCGCCCUUGACCUGCCUAGUGCUUUCCUCCAGGGCUUUGCCUAGCCCUUCCUGUUUCUGCCUGGCCUACCCAUCACUGGGCUUACCUUCCUAUCCCCAGCCUUGCCUAGAACUUCUGGGCCUUUUCUCACCUACCAUUCCAUUUGCUUUCCCCUCAGUGCUCUGUCCUUACCUACCUCUCCCUUAUCUUGUCCACAAUUGCCUACACUUGGUUUGCAUUGCCUUACCUGCAUGGAAGGCAAACUGAAGAUUGGUAGGCAAAGCAAAGCAAAACAAGAAAGUUGUAGGUAGGGCCAGGCAAGGUGGGCAUAGGCAAGGGAUGCAAAGCAAGGGUAGGCUAGGAAGAACCAGGCAAGGUACUGUCUUGGGUUACAGUGUAAGGUAGUAACGAACACAUACACUGGAGACAUUCAAGAACCAUCUGGAUGCAACUCUGUGCCACGUGCUCUGGGAUGACCCUGUUGGAGUGGAGAGGUUUGACCAAAUGACCCACUGUGGUCUCUUCCAACCUUUACCCAUUGUCAGAUUCUGUAUGUAAGCAAACUAAAAUGGAAUGGUCUAAGUUUAAACUUCUUACAAGAAAGACCAAAAAAAGAUAGGCUAAAUGAAGUACUUAGUGGCACAGGGAUUAAUUGAGGGUUAAUGUUCACAGACACAGUCAAGAGUAUCUCUUGACCAAUCUUCUCAUGCAUAGUAGCAACUUUUAGGUUUCUGUCCUUCUGUCUAGUUCAACUGACCUGAAAGGUUGGCUGUUGAAUUAGGAAUACCAUGACCAUAAGUUCCUGUAGCUUCAAACUAAUUUUGCUUUGUGGUGGAAAUACUGACAUUUUAAUGUAUUUCUUGCAUAAAAAAAAAAAAAAAAAGAAAAAAAAAUAGAUAUCUAGCUGGCUUGACACAAAUCAGAGUAAAGUUGCUAUAUAAUUUAUAGUAAGACCAUACAUUGUUCAGGAACAUUCCUGACAGCAUGAUGCCUCAGGCUCAGUGUAGAUACUCAGAGUCAUUAAGGCCAAGGCAAAUCUUUUAAUAUAUCAUUGUAUACUCCCUCAAAAAAAUAACAGAGAUUUUCGCUAGUAAGAAAGAAUAAAGCAAAUGUUUUGAUGGGUGGGAUUUUUCUUGUGGCUUUUUCUUGUCUCUGAAUUUUUCAAUGAUUCACAAGUUUUGCCUACUAGUCCUGAAUUUUGAAAAGCACUGUUGCUUUUUCUUUGAUGGAUCUGAUGGCUCCACAAACCAUUAACCUUUUGUUAAUCCUGUUUUGUGUAAGAACACAGGGUAAUCAAAACCAUAUUCCAGUUAUUUCUACCUCUCUGAUUUUUGGGAAAUGUUCUAUGAUGUUCUGUAGCAGUGACAAUACUGAAAUAGUGGCCCAAGGGCUAGUUUGUACACAAUUUCAGAAGACGAGAAGCUGAAAGAGAGAAUAUAUUUAAAUGCUCUUUGUUCACAUUAGUCUGCCAAACUGGGUGUUAAGCAUCUAUCUGACCAACUCCAGGGUUUCAAAGUGGAGUUAUAAAGAUGGAAAGGCACUAAAGAGUAAGAAAAAUCAUGGGAGAACAAUUUUCUAGACAAUCUGUAAAAAUAGUGAGCUACUAGUAGGGAUGUCUAAGGAUAGUAAAAGAACUAAGCCUACUGAGACUCUCCCCAUCAUUUUAGAAACAACAUCCUUCCUUUUUUCAAGCUAUCCUUUUUACGGUACCUAAAACUUCCUGCGCUCUUUUCACAUCACAUCACUAAAGUUCUCCCUAGAUCCUUUGUUUCUUCAGUUUAUCUUCAAGUUAAUUCCACAGUUGGAGGAGAGGUAGGUAUUCUAUCAGCCUUCAUCUGCUGCUACACAGUCUGUCAUUUUAUUGCCUCUUUGAUGAAUCUCUACAGCUUUAAUUGAUUUUAAAAACAGAAGUGACAAAAAUAGGAAAAAACCAAAAACAUAUCACCCAUUGCUUUUCUUGUAAAGCAUACUAUAGCUAACUUUAAGCAAUCAGCGGCAAUGUUCAUGGAAGCAGUUCACACAGCAAAUUCUGAGCUGGAGCCCACUUCUGCAACGUGAACUGUUUACCAAAGGGUAAGAUACAGUUUCUGUUACUCAACCACAAGGAGCUUGACUUAGUGAGGGAGCCAGUUUCUCUAGUGUGUAUGCAGGAAGUUAAGAGGAAUUUUUCUUUGUUGCUGAGUGUGGCUCUCACAUAAGGGUGUAUAAACAGGAGAGCCUGAAAGAGCAAUUAUUUCAUCUCCUUUUAACAAAUGAAACUGCUAUAGUGCUUACAAAUCUUAUAUGCUUCAAUCAGUGGGGGUGGGGGAAACUUUUAAAUUCAUGGAUUCUAUAGCCACAAGUAAUGGGAAAGGAUGGUUGAAUUCAGUCAGCCUUUCCCUAUUACCAGGCUACUUGUUCUUGAUCUUUGUCUCGUAGGUCUGCUGUAAUUAUCAUUACACAGGGGUAAGAGAGGAAGGCUUAUGAGGAAAAGCCUGUAGUGAAAAAAGAGAGGGAGAAGGCAUUUUAAAGUAUGUCAAAAAUUAGCAAGAUGUAAUAGACUCUCCUUUUGUUUUUGAGAACAGUAAUGUGGUAAACUGAAAUUUGACUAGAACUCCUUGAAAGUAUUUCUUAUCUUUCAGAACCAGAUUUGCUGGAUAACUGCUUUUGUAGUCUUGUUGUAGCAAGCACCACCUACAUGAUACAGCCAGUGAGAAGUCUGCAACACUGGAACAGAUGGUAUAGCAUACAGUAGGAACAGCAUAUAUUAUUAAUAAACACAUUCUCUAAGACUGAAAUUGACUAAAUGGGAGAAUAAUGCAGAAGAAAAUGUUGAUUUCUUUUUCAAUACAUCAGUAAUUUGCUUACUAUAAAAUACCAGCUUUAUAGUGCUUACUUGUAAAAUACCAGCACAAUAAGGAUGUGCUUUGCUUUAUGUAUAUAGAGAAGUAACCUUAGACCAUCACUUCUUAGCCAGUUAUUAACUAGGAGGAACAUUACAGCUUAGAUUAAAUUUACUAGCCUCAGAAAGCCCUGCAAAUAAUAGAAAUGGAGGAUUGGAAAAGAUAAUAUUGCUUAUGAGUUGAAGUGGCUUUCUGCAAAAGUUUUUAGACUUGGAGCUGAGACUUGACUGCUGCUGCUGACUGAGAUAUAGAUUUCUGUUCUUGCUCGAUGUGCCACUGAAUAUACUUACCCUCUUUUUUUCCAGUCAGUUGCUUCUUUUAUGUAUUUAUAUCCUGGUCUGGCCCCAUAGCAAAACUAAUCUUGAUAUAGUCCCAUUUGGGCUAUCAGCAAAUACAUACCUCUGUCAUGAUCUGUGAAGAUUGGAGAAUGGUCAAAAUGCAUUUGCUAUAACCUACUAGAUGUAUGUAAUUUUGCUUGUUUCCUAGGAAUUCCUGGGAUCUGGUAAAGACCUGGAGAUGUAAAACUGUACAUGAGGUUCUCCCAUUUUUCUCCAAAUUUUCAUGAAGUAAUGUAGAAUUUAAAUAAAAUAAUGAAAAAAUCUCACAUGCAAUGGGAGAUGCAUAUAUUUCUGGACCCCGGCUAGUCUGACUAAAUUCUCUCUGGCUGAUUUAAUUCAGAAUAGUAUUGGUAAGCUUGUGCAAUGUAGAGUUUAUACUUCAUUUCAGAUGGAUUUAACUUGGCUAGCUUUGAAAUGGAACAAAACAGCAACAAAAAUGACACACAAUGAAAAGCAAUUCUCAGUGACAGCUUUUCCCAAGCAUACUGCUUUGAUUACAAGGUCCUUAAGCCAAAAGUCUGCCUUAUUAUUAUUCCUGCCCCACAAUGUACUUGUCUGUGAACAAGUGUGUGAAGUUCACAAUAUGCUCAGUUCAUUCAGGUGAUGAGUACUAGCUGAUGUACAAAGGAACAUUCACUUAAAGGCCAUGUUAGGGCCUUGAAAAAGUCCAGUGUGACAGGGUGUUGGCUGCUUUUAUACAGAAGUAGGUAUAUUUGUGGUACUGUUAAGGAGUAUGGUGCUUAAUGAUUCAGAGUACUGUUGCUGUGCAUCAUCAGAGAAAGCAUUCCACUUCCUCCUCUAAGUUGUGUGUUAGCUGCAAUUGCUGAAGAACUACUUAGUAGAUCACAGAGGAACUCAGGAAAGUAAGCAGCUACCAUCUACUUUCAAAAUCUCACCAGGCACCUCUGUUUGCUGAAGUGCCUGAAAUUUCACUUGCAAAAUAAAGUAGUACAAAAGUGGGGAAAUAUUAUUCUCUGAUUGUUAUUCUGCUAACAUACCACAUUGCUAGGCUGUUUGGAAAGGGAUGCCGUUUCUCAAUCAUCUGUAACUUACUAGUGCUUUUCCUUAAAUUCUCUGUAGAUAUAGUAGAGUAGUAGACUGUUUCUGUCACUUGCUGCAGCAACGAACAGUGCAUCAAUUUUCUAGCAUCAGUGCUCUUCAACUGGCAGCUAGGGAAAAUACCAUCUUCUUUGGCACUUAGCUUGUUAUUGCUUCCAGUAUAUUCUGAGAAUUAGUGAUUAGGGAUCAUACGGUUAAAAAUAAAUUUACCUAUUUUUUAAAGUUAAUCUGAACUUCCAAAUGCAAAGUAGUUGUAAACAUUUGUGGAUUUUCCUAAAUGAAUACAUUUCACCUGAGGGUAAUUUACAAACUGUUUUGAUUACAAUGUAGCCCUACACUUACGAUGAAUCCCUGAUUACAGGAUAUUAAGUCUACUCAUUGUUUUGCUGAAUGAUGAAUUUUAAACAGUAAGUAUCAUUCAUCUUUUUAUUAGUGGAAUUUUCAAGAGUCAGAGCAACUUACAAAAAUUUCUCACAGAUGUCUACAAAUUUAUAAAUUAUAUAACUGAAUUAUUGUAGCCUGUAUUGAAUUUUAUUGCUCUGUAUCUUAGUAGUCUCAGGGCUCUUCCUCCCAGGGCAACUAUGACACACUUCUUCAAAUAUUUGUCUAAAAGCCAUUUACAGUUUUUCAUCUAUAAGAGGUUUUCUGUUUAGUCAUUAUCAGAAUCAGGCCAUUUAGAGCCAUGUUUGGGUCUGUGUGCAGACUUGUAUCUGUCAUAAAUGUAAUUAGAAGGGUAGGUAUAAAACUAUACACAAAAUCAUACAGAUAUUGAUACAAACUGCAGUUUUCAAAUCAAGAAAAUAUUCAAUGCAUUAAACAAGAAUGAUUCAAAAUUGUAGAUGAGCUUCAAUCACUUCAAUUGUGAUUUGAUUGGAAAAGGGCUAUACCAUCUGUCCAAAAGCUUCAGCAACCAUUGUGUAUGUAAAACAAACAAAAAAGACUGAUGAAGGUAAAAGGAGUUCAGUGAGGAAGCCUGACCUGUGCUUCCCUAUCUUGCAUGACUUUGUUUAUGUAAGUCUUUGUGCAGUCUUUGUGCUGUCAUCAGAAUUUAUGUUUCCAAACUAAAACAAGUUGUUAUAGCUCAUUAUGAUGUACAAGUAUAUAAUAUCUUUCCUGCUCUCUGAGAAUUUCAGUGUCUGCUGCAUAAAUCAACUUGCCUACACUUCAAGAAUCGACAGGUGUAAAAAGUAGCAUAGGAUUACUGGUUUAGUUAAGAGUCAGUCAUCCUCCAGCCACUGGCUGCUGGCUGGAGGUGCUUUGCUUCUUAUUGCCUGCACCAAGCUAAAGACAGCUUGUCACAAAACUGUUGGGUGCCAGAUCAUUAAACCUUAUUAUACAGAGGCAAAUAGAUUUUUGGGAUGAAAAAAUAAGUAUGAGGUAGGUAUAUGUUAUUAGAGACAUUUAAUAAAAAGAUAAAAAAAUGAAGAGAGUAUUUUCAAUAAAUUCUGUCUGAGGUAAUUACUACAAGAGAGAAAGAAAGAAAGAAAGAAAACUUUGUCUCAAGGUAUAUACCACGUUCAGACCAAUGAAUGCAUCAGUGAAUUAACUGAAGGUUGAAUGAAAACGUAGUAUGUAAGGAAUUGGGGGAAUGAAAGAAAUAUAGUUCUCAUUUUCCCUGAAAUUGAAAUGCUGAGAAAAUUUCAUUUUUUAAACUUCAUUAUUUAGUGCCUCUAGAAGGAGCUAUGCUAUCCUUACUGCCAUAAAAGUUCUUCCAAUUUAUGUUAUUAGUGUUUUGUGGUUUUUUUCUGACCUAUCCUACCAAGCCACUGAAGCACAGCUUACGUAUUAGCUAUUGCAUUCCUCCUCAUUCAAGGACAGUUCAAGUUCAUACAUGCUCUCACACUAUUAUAAAAAUGAGUAUGUACAUGAUUCCAUGUCACUGGAUCUAGAAGGCAUAAGACCAGUCAUUGGUUCAAUGAAAACGCUCACCCUUUGCCAAGUUCUUGCCACCAAAAUGAAGGGAAACAUGGUUUAAGGUUUUUUUUUUCUUACUUGGUCCUCUGUAAUGACUUCUGUGAAGGCUAAUUUCUCCAUGGAGCUUAAUACUCUGACUUAUGAGAAGUAAGUCUCUUGCUUUUGGACUAGACCAGUUUUUCUGGAUUGUGGAUGUCUUUCUGGGGAAGCUGCCCUCAGCUCCCACUAACCUUUGUGCAAGGACAAGAUCAUUACCAACCUUUCCCUGCUUUCACUUUACAAGCUGACUACAAUCUCUGUGUUUAGUAUAUGCCACUUGCUCUCUGAGCAGCUUUGCAUUUGCCAGGUAGUAUCUCUUCCCUCUGUUAUGGUUAGGCAAACUGUUGUUAUGAAUGAAAUUGCCAAUUUAAUUUAUCAAUAAUUUGCAAGAGCCAAAUUAUGAUAUAAAAACAAAGUACAAAAUUUAUUUCGCGCAAAUUGACAGAAUUUCGGUAAGCCACGGAUCGGACAGAGUCUAGCCCAGGAAUAGACCCUGGGUGACGCGCUGAGCAACCCCAAGCACUGGCAGCUUCGGAGUGCGGUGGCACACUGGGUCUCCCUCCACGCAGGUUUUUAUCCCAUUUUUCUUGCCGCAGGCUAGGAAGUCCAUUGUCCUUUUCAUAACCAAACAAGUUCCAAAGGUUUCUCCGGUCUAGUAGAAUGGUAUCUGAUGGAAGGUGGUCCGGUCCUCAUGUCUUCGGGAAUAAUUCAUCGGCUUCUGGUCUUGUGCUAGACAGGACUAAGCUUAACAAUACACAGUCUCAUCCUGAGAGAGAUAUCCUUGUUAUCACCCUGAAUACCCGAUACUCAGUUCUUACUGGAAAUCUCUUUUACAAACCAAGAGACUUCCCAGAAGUAUUUUAAAAUUCUAAAUAGUGUGUGUUCUUCCCCCCUUUCCAGUCGGGAGUAUCCAGGUGUACUGCUGAUGGCGUAAUUCCCUACAUAGCUGCAACCUUGAAACCGAGGAUCCCUGUUGUAUUUCACAUGUAAAUGUGGUCUAUCGGUGUGGUAUGUGUGUUGGUAUCUUGCUGCUAUUGCAGACUGAUUUAUUUGGCUUUUUCCCUGAGAACAUGUCCAGACGUAGCCCCCCUGUGUCCCCCUUUACUUAAUAUCUAUCUACCUUAAUAUUUUAUACUAUCUUGAAUCUAUUCCUCUAUUCUAAUAAAUAUGAAUUUUGACAUCCAUUCAUAACACUGUGAUUGACAGAACAAAGGAAGAGUACGUCCAACUCCUCUCUGAAGAACAGCUAUCCUGCUAAUACAGAGCUAAGAUGGUAGUUAAGAAUGGCCUCAUUAGAAUGUUGACAUCACCUCACUGCUGUAAACACAGCAGUAAGCAUACAUUCCAUAUGUUAAACCAUCAAGUUUCUAUGAGUUCACUUCCCUGUGAAAUAUUUCUUUAGAAAUAUUUCUUCUGCUGCUUUUAAUCCCACUGACACAUGUGUGAUAAGAACGGACAUAAUGAAAAUUAUUACAUGUCACUAGAGUGUUUCCUGGACUCAUAGCCAAGAAACUGCCAAACAGUGAGCAAUGGCUAGAUUUAUUGUGGUUUGUUUUUUUACAUAAUUUUCAGGAAGGUGCUGUAGCAGCCUUUGGCUUUAGACAUUGCUCAUAUUUAAAUCUAUUCAAGAAUUUGAAAAAUAUUCAGCCUCAUUCUAGUUUGAAUUAUGACAUUAUCAGUAUAUUUAAGCAAGAAUGACAAACUACCUCAAGGAAAGUCCAGGGCUGUAACAUCACGAAUGCUGGAAUUUCAGCCACUCAGCAGGAAGCUUGUACAGCAAGUACCGUGCUUGGUGUGGUAAGAAAGAUCUAGCUGCUGGCCUCAGCCUGCUGUGCUGGGAAAAGCUGUCUGCACAACCUCCAGGGAAGACAAUCUAGUUUGGCAGAAACGAGCCAUGUGCUUGGAAUGACUUCAAAGUGUCAAGAGCUGCUCCUGGAAAAAAAGGCAAAAAGGCAGAGUUGUAACUCAGUUUCUAUGUUCACGCAGCUUAUGGAUGCCUCUGAGACAUAAACUUUAAGGAAUUUAGAGAUUUUAGAGGCGCUAAGAUUUUAGUUAAAGAUAAGCUUUAUUGGAGUUAAUUAAAAUAAGUGGGUAGGCCUUGAUGAAGUUGAGUUAGUAGUUAACUAAUAAUUGAUUGCUUGUCAACAUAAUGUUUGGUUAGCUGGGUUUAUAAUGAAGAAUAUGGAAACUCAUAAAUAGCUUUAAGGAACAUAAGACAAUUGUGGGCCUCCCCUGUUCUGAAACCAAUUGAAGAUAGGGAAUGGGAGUUCUACUGAGGGUUCAUUUGUCAUAUCUGCAUUGAAAAGGUAGAAAGGUCAGAACGAGGAAGACUACAUUUACUUCCUCAUUUUGGGAGGCCUCCCCAUGAAAGGGACCACCAACCCAUUUCAUGAAACAAACUAUGCAUGCUUAAUAGCUUUUGAACGAAUUAUGAAGCGGGGAAUAUGAAGCGGGGAAUGGGAUGUACCGAAGUUACGAAUAUGUAUUUGUAUUUUGGGUAUUCAAUACUUGCAUAGAUAAAAGGACUCUCUAAUCACCUGUAAAUUGCGGUGUGUAUUUGGGAGUUAUCCUGCAUGCUGCCCUGCGUCUUAAUAAACAUACACUUUCUGAGUUUAAA